AAAAGCGGGAACUUUAACACAAGUUAAUUGUCAUUAUAGUAAACGCCUGUUACGUUCAUGGCUGUCACAGUCUAGCAGGGAGCAGCGGGCCGGAUGGAAGACGUUUCUGUGGAGUUCCACAAGUUAGAAAACAUCAGGGGCAACAAAGAAUGGAGUCAGCCAGUGUCGGCGAAAUGCAUGGAUUCCCAGCAUUAAAAGGGGGAACUUUUCCCUCUGUGCGUUCACAAAAGCGUGCUCAGAUCACUUUGAGACAAAGAGAGUGCAUUUAUAUGCAUGCGUUUUGUCGUUAAAUCAUAACUCAACUGCAGAAAGAGAAGAACGAGAUCAUCCAUCAUGUCUUGCUGCGUCGUCGGGUGCACGAAUCGUUUUGAUAAAAACAACAAGUCGCGCAAGUUUUACAGGAUACCGUCAGGUCGCACCCCUUUCAAGGCAAACAAGAGACGUCUUUGGCUGCAGGCCAUCAGAAGAACCGACUGGACCGAGCAGAAGAUUAAAAACGCGUCUAUCUGCAGCGAUCACUUCAUCUCAGCGAGGCUACUGAACCAGAGAGGAGGACAGCGUGGCUGCUGGCUGUAAACAGAGCCGCCGACAACACCAGCAAAACACCGGGAGAGCUGUGGAUACCGAAAACGGACUACACUUAUGUUUGUUCUGCACAUUUUCUAACAGGAAAAAAGAACAACCAGAAAGAUCACCCAGAUUAUGUCCCUUCCAUAUUCCCACAAAAACCAGUGUCAAGACAGUCAUGCAGAGCCCAGAAGAGAAGAGUGGAUGUCGGAGUGCAAUCUGCAGCAGGGGCAACUGGUGCAAUGCUGUGUUCUGUGUGCUGUUAUGUGUGUAAUGUUGGGCUGCUAGCUCGGGCAGAACAACCUUGUGUGUCAAUGUGAAUUUUGUAGAGCAGGGCAGCAACGUGAACACAUUUCUCAGCCACGCCGGCCAUACAUGUGCAGUGAGCUCUGUCCACGUCCUCAGAGGACUUCAGGAUCACCCAUGGCUGAGGCGGCUUCUGACUGAGGCGCAUGGAGUGAUUCACCGAAAUGCAGAGAACCAUGUUUUAGAUUUUGCAGAUAUUUACAAUGCUAAUACAACAGCAAUUCACCAUAAGUUAAAACCCCUUGAUGCCUGAAUUUAUUUAGAGUGAGGAGAAAUGAAAAUGGAUGUAGUUCACAUCAAGGGGGUUUAUUAAUAAUAAUAAUGAUGCAUUGGUUUUACAUAGCACUUUUCUCGACACUCAAACGCCCUU